rnacentral:rRNA from 1 species
AUACGGAGGGGGCAAGCGUUGUUCGGAUUUAUUGGGUGUAAAGGGUGUGUAGGCGGCAUAGUAAGUCAGAUGUGAAAUCUCUGGGCUCAACCCAGAAACUGCAUUUGAUACUGCUAAGCUAGAGUACCAAAGAGGCAAAUGGAAUUCUUGGUGUAAGAGUGAAAUCUGCAGAUAUCAAGAAGAACACCAGUAGCGAAGGCGAUUUGCUGGGUGGAUACUGACGCUGAAACACGAAAGCUAGGGUAGCGAACGGGAUUAGAAACCCCAGUAGUCC